AAGUCGUAACAAGGUUUCCGUAGGUGAACCUGCGGAAGGAUCAUUACCUAGAGUUUGCGGGCUUUGCCUGCUAUCUCUUACCCAUGUCUUUUGAGUACUUACGUUUCCUCGGUGGGUUCGCCCGCCGAUUGGACAAUUUAAACCCUUUGCAGUUGCAAUCAGCGUCUGAAAAAAAUUAAUAAUUACAACUUUCAACAACGGAUCUCUUGGUUCUGGCAUCGAUGAAGAACGCAGCGAAAUGCGAUAAGUAGUGUGAAUUGCAGAAUUCAGUGAAUCAUCGAAUCUUUGAACGCACAUUGCGCCCCUUGGUAUUCCAUGGGGCAUGCCUGUUCGAGCGUCAUUUGUACCUUCAAGCUCUGCUUGGUGUUGGGUGUUUGUCUCGCCUUUGCGUGUAGACUCGCCUCAAAACAAUUGGCAGCCGGCGUAUUGAUUUCGGAGCGCAGCACAAGUCGCGCUCUUUGCCAGCCAAGGUCAGCGUCCAGCAAGCCUUUUUUUCAACCUUUGACCUCGGAUCAGGUAGGGAUACCCGCUGAACUUAA
rnacentral:rRNA from 1 species